CCUACGGGAGGCAGCAGUGAGGAAUAUUGGUCAAUGGGAGAGAUCCUGAACCAGCCAAGCCGCGUGAGGGAAGACGGCCCUAUGGGUUGUAAACCUCUUUUGUCGGAGAACAAAACCCGGGACGUGUCCCGGACUGCGUGUAUCCGAAGAAAAAGCAUCGGCUAACUCCGUGCCAGCAGCCGCGGUAAUACGGAGGAUGCGAGCGUUAUCCGGAUUUAUUGGGUUUAAAGGGUGCGUAGGCGGUCCGUUAAGUUAGCGGGAAAAUUGCGGGGCUAAACCCCGUCGAGCCGUUGAGACUGGCAGACUUGAGUUGGCGAGAAGUACGCGGAAUGCGCGGUGUAGCGGUGAAAUGCAUAGAUAGCGCGCAGAACUCCGAUUGCGAAGGCAGCGUACCGGCGCCAGACUGACGCUGAGGCACGAAAGCGUGGGGAUCGAACAGGAUUAGAUACCCCUGUAGUC
rnacentral:rRNA from 1 species